UGGAAAAGCAAAUAUAUAAUCUCUAUUAGUACCCUUGAACAAUUAAUAUUAUUUAUUCAAAUAAUUAAACGUAAGUGUUUUUGUGGCCAUUUUCACCUAAUAUCCUGGAUGCACCCACCUGUGUAUAGCAAUAGCAGAUCGUGAAAUUCCAGGGAACCGCGUGACGUGAGUUGAUGGCGGAUAUGGUGGGCAAGCUGUAUUUUAGCAAAAAAACGCCAUUAUUAUUAUUAUGAUUACAAUGUAUAUUCGUGAUGUACCGUACGUAUCAACAAAACGAGGUGUGCACGGCAUUGUGGAAAUAGACUCGAACGAACGCCGGCUUGUUUCGAAAAGGAUUUUUGAUGUGAUGAGAUGCACCACCUGCAUAGACAAUGCAAUGCCAGAGUGACCACAUGGAGUAACGGCGGACAUGGUCGAUAAACUGUAUUCUAGCAGAAACCUCCAUAACUUGCUGUGUUCAUAGGGUAUUUCCGUGAUGUAGGCAUAUAUAUCAACAAAACU